AUCUACCAGCUGUGUAAUCUUGGCAAGUUACUUCAUGUCUCUGAGCUUCGGUUUUGUCCUCUGUAGGAUGGAAUGGUCAGAGACAAUGCAAGCAGAGCCCUCAGGAAAAGAGAGAUUUCUAAUAAAAGGAAAACCAGCUGGGCUAUUAAAGGCCCCUCUUCACACAGAGCAGAGCAAGAGAAGGCAGGUUUCAGAGCGAAUCGCUGUCUACCAUCAAAGCAGACGGGGUUCCAAACAGACAUGGUAUGUUACACACAAAGACCAAGGUAACUGCUGCAUGGUUUUACAAGUAAUUUACUGUGCUCGUUUAAAUGCACAAGAGCCUCUAGAAUUCUCACUGAUCAUGUUACCUGAUUUUCUAUUGUUAAAAAAAGCCAAAUAAUCAAAUGUAAUGUAAAAAGUCAGCUAUCUGGAUAUACCCCUCCCCGGACCCUAAAUAGCCUGAUGCUUCUGUUGUGUCAACAUCUUUGCAUCAGAGAGGAGUGAUUUGUUUCAUGUGAUAAAUGCCAAUUUGGUGAUGCCAUAUAAUGAAAACCUACUAGGCUUUAGUUUAUGAAGUGUCUUUCUCUGCUCAGCUUUAAAAAGCAGGAAUUUUACUUGGAGUUAUAUAUUUCUUGGGUUAAUUUAUAUUUUAUAAAUAUGUGAAAUUAUUAAUUCAUUCUAUCUGUGGCACAUGUGGACCCUGAAGCUCAUGGCAGUGCUGUUAUCUGCUGUAGGGAUGCAAACAUACUCUUUGAUGUGUUGUUCUUGGGGACCGGGGGAUAAAGAUGGAAUACUCAUCGGGCCCAGCUCUGCAGAUGGGCUGAGGAGGCAGCAUGGGGUUGUGUGCUGUCCUCGGAGCGGGGUCAGAACUCGCUAAUCUGCUGCACGUUGUAGAGAACGGGACACUUCGGGGAAAGGUGGCCCCAGCCAUUCCUGCUCUAUGCCCCUCUCGGAUGGGCCAUUGAACGUCACCCGUCCACAGAUGUCCCUUCCUGCACACGCUUGCCUCAGUCAACUGCCCUCCAUGUUCACUGUGUGGCAUGAGGGCCAGUACCGAGGAACAAUGCCCAACGAGGCUGAUAAAAAGAACAGUCACACACACAGCCAGCAUAUGUCACAUCUUGUUCUAAGUGCUCUCUUUCUGUUAACUCAAUUGAUCCUCACAAUGGCCCUGUGAGACAGGCUUGUCAGUAUCCCCGAUUUACAGGGAGGAACCUGAGGGCCAGCGUGGUUCCCAUGAGCCUGUUUUUCUCUGGCCCCAUCCCUGUGUUGGUUCAGUGGAUGCACACUGAUUCUGGGCAUUGGCAUUCACUCUUGGUUUUGCUCCUUGGGACCUUAUUCUUUAGCCUCUUAGUUCAUUAUUUCAGCCAACAGAUGUGCGCUGAGAGAUUCUAGGAGCC
rnacentral:lncRNA from 1 species